UACGUAGGGUGCGAGCGUUGUCCGGAAUUAUUGGGCGUAAAGGGCUCGUAGGCGGUCUGUCACGUCGAAAGUGAAAACUCAGGGCUUAACCCUGAGCCUGCUUCCGAUACGGGCAGACUAGAGGUAUGCAGGGGAGAACGGAAUUCCUGGUGUAGCGGUGAAAUGCGCAGAUAUCAGGAGGAACACCGGUGGCGAAGGCGGUUCUCUGGGCAUUACCUGACGCUGAGGAGCGAAAGCCAGGGGAGCAAACGGG
rnacentral:rRNA from 1 species